UUACUGACCAAGUGGUUGUGAAUGUGCUGCUAAAUUGGACUUUCAUAUCACAGCCUGCUUGGAUCAGUAACA
rfam:Octopus bimaculoides Scaffold40646_contig_8, whole genome shotgun sequence.